rnacentral:rRNA from 2 species
AGACUACCCCCUGGACUUAAGCAUAUCACUAAGCGGAGGAAAAGAAACUAACUAGGAUUCCCCCAGUAACUGCGAGUGAAGAGGGAAGAGCUCAUCAUUGGAAUCUGGCAGUGUUGCACUGUCCGAGUUGUAGAUGAGGAGUAGUCCAUCUGGACUGCAUGGCGUCCAAGUACAAUAGGCCGUCAGUGGGACAUCAUAGAGGGUGACAAUCCCGUCCUUGAUGCCAAUGUGCAAGUCCGUUACGAUGGCUAUCUCAGAGAGUCGAGCAGUUUGGGAUUUGCUGCUUAAACAUGGGAGGUAGAUUCCUUCUAAAGCUAAAUACAGGCGAGAGACCGAUAGAGAACAAGUACCGCAAGGGAAAGAUGAAAUAGCACUCUGUGAAGGGAGUCAAAAGGCGUGAAAUUGUUGCGAGAGAAGCGAUUCAAGUCAGCGUAGCUAGGCCCAUCAAGCGUCUCGCUUUGGACUAGCUUUGCCAGCGGUCUUGUCCUUUAGAGAGAGACUUGACUUGUUAACGAUGUCCAGCCUGGUAUGCACAGGUAGCCCCCCGGGGUCAGUGGCAUGGCUGGUGGAAUGGCUUGCAAUCGACCCGUCUUGAAACACGGACCAAGGAGUCUAACAUGUAUGCGAGUAUAAGGGUGGCAAACCCGUAUGCGCAAUGAAAGUGAUUUUCGGUGAUUGAGAAUGGCCUGAUGACCAGACAAGCAAUACAUGUCCCUCGGACGGCCAUUGCCCAAGUUCCGUGGUAGAUCCCAUGAACAUGGAGUUGGAGCAUACAUGCUAGGACCCGAAAGAUGGUGAACUAUGCCUGGACAAAGCGAAGCCAAAGGAAACUCUGGUGGAGGCUUGUAGCGAUUCUGACGUGCAAAUCGAUCGUCUGAUCUGGGUAUAGGGGCGAAAGACUAAUCGAACCAUCUCAUAGCUGGUUCCUGCCGAAGUUUCCCUCAGGA